AACGUCCAGUCAGAGAAGGGUCUGGCUGCAGACCAUGGGCUAGUGGAGCUCCACUCUCAAACCGGAAAUACGUCACCUCCACUUGAAAACAUCAAGAUGGCGUCGCCGGGAGUACUUCAAACUUAAACUCAGAUCAAAUGUAUAUCAAGUGUUAUCCAUCCUCAUAACACCUCCACAAAUAGAGAGUGGAACUUCUGAGCACCAUCACCUUGUCUGCUAUGGGACUGUCAUAGGUGAAUGAUGCAGUACUAUUCUGUGUUGAAUUUACCUAACGUCAGCACACAGACAUAGUAUUGUUCCAGUUUUGCUGUGCUCAUGUCUUCUUUGUGUCCCCAGCCCAGCAAUCAGAUGCAUCAGAACAACAAAGCACAACUGUGGUGGACCAGGCACCUUCAGCAACGAGUAAAUUGCUUUAACAUUAAUGAUAAUUAAAUGUCAGUAUUGUAAUUAAACUUGACCCAUCUAACGUAAUUGUUCAUGCCAGAGAUUUAACAACACUGUCAGUCAGGAGCAUAUUUAACAGGAGGCACACUUCAGCUGGCUUGAUGGUGACUUCAGUGCAGUGAAGAUAUUUAAAGAGACACUAUCUAAAGUACAGAAAGCCGUACAUAAUCUCUAGGUGCAGUCGCCUACAGUACAGCCAGCUUCACAAAGACUGUGGGGCUGGUCACCAGGAAAAUGGCCAACAAGGAGUGCUUUUGGGGUUUUACUCCUCAGAUGACCACCCUGGCUACUGUAGCUGGGAUUGCUUCACAGACAAUGGAGGUCUUGAAGAGUAAAGUGUGCAUGCAUGUGAACACAUUGUGUUAUUACAGUAACAAUUAUGGUCACUUGCAGUUCAUGUGUUUUCAAUGUAGUGUAAGAUGUGUUUAUUAUUAUUAUUACUCAAAAACCAUUAAAACUUCUAAAUUGUGGAAGUUAUUCUUCA